rnacentral:rRNA from 1 species
CCUACGAGAGGCAGCAGUCGAGAAUCAUUCACAAUGGGGGAAACCCUGAUGGUGCGACGCCGCGUGGGGGAAUGAAGGUCUUCGGAUUGUAAACACCUGUCAUGUGGGAGCAAAUUAAAAAGAUAGUACCACAAGAGGAAGAGACGGCUAACUCUGUGCCAGCAGCCGCGGUAAUACAGAGGUCUCAAGCGUUGUUCGGAAUCACUGGGCGUAAAGCGUGCGUAGGCUGUUUCGUAAGUCGUGUGUGAAAGGCGCGGGCUCAACCCGCGGACGGCACAUGAUACUGGGAGACUAGAGUAAGAGAGGGGGAACCGGAAGUCUCGGUGUAGCAGUGAAAUGCGUAGAUAUCGAGAGGAACACUCGUGGCGAAGGCGGGUUACUGGACAUUAACUGACGCUGAGGCACGAAGGCCAGGGGAGCGAAAGGGAUUAGAUACCCGGGUAGUC